GAGAAAGACCUUCAUCCAGAGCCAACAGAGCGAGAGCCUUCACCUGGAGCUGACACCCUGAAUUUGGACUUCUAGCCUACUUUAGUGUGAGAAAAUAAACUUUUUGUUAAAGCCAUCCACCUGUGGUAUUUCUGUUAUGGCAGCACUAGAUGACUAAGAUGACUAGAUGACUAAGAAUUUGGUACUGAGAGAGUGGGGUGCUGCUCUAGCAAAUACCUAAAAUGUGGAAGUGGUUUUGAAACUGUGAAUGGUUAGAGGAGUGACAGCGGCAGUGGACUAGCACAACAGAGAACCUGCAGCAGCAGAGAAGCAGCAGCCACUGAGAACCAACAGCCUCAGAACCAGGAGACCAGUGAGAGAUGGCGCUGGAUCCGACCCAUGGAGUGAGAGAAAGCUGAGCGCCUGUGUGCAGGAGGCUUCCUGGUGGAGUGGGGUACCUCCAGACACUUAUUGGUGGAGCUAGGCUUGCUGACCCAUGCAGCAAGAAAGCUGAGUGCCUGCGUGCAGGAGGCUUCCUGGUGGAGUGGGUUGCCUCUAGGUACUUUUCCGUGGAGCUAUAGAUCUUUGGAACAGUUGCCCCAGCAGAGCAGAUGCAGUUGUGAGGCCUGAGGAGCCAAGAGACCAAGAAACUGGGAAGCAGAAGCUGAAGAGACAGAGACCACAAGAAGCCAGGCUGCCUCAGUCUCAAAAGUUUCUCCAAUUUGUAAUGGAAAUGUGUGUCUUGUGCCUGUUCUGCCAUUGUACCUUUGGAAGCACUUGUGUUCUAGACUUCACAGAUGAAGAGGAAUUUUUGGAUUUGGGACUUGGAGUUAAGACUUUUGCUAUGAUAUGAUGGGGUGAAUAUGUUUUGCAUGUUGCAAGGAUGUGAUUUUGGGGGGGCCAAAGGGUGGAAUGUCAUGGAUUGAAUUGUGUCACCCAAAAAAUAUGUGUCAACUUGGUUAGGCCAUGUGUGGUUGUCCUCCAUUUUGUGAUUUUUCUAUGUAUUAUAAAUCAUAAUCUCUGCCUGUGGUUAAAAAUGAUUAAGGUGGGAUGUAACACCCUUGUUCAAGCCACAUUUCUGAUUCAAUGUAAAAGGAUUUUCCCUGGGGUAUGGCCUGUACCACCUUUUAUCUCUCAAGAUAUAAAAAGAAAGGGAAGCAAGCAGAGAGUUGGGGACUUCAUACCACCAAGAAAGCAGCAUCGGGAACAGAGUGUGUCCUUUAGACCCAGGGUUCCUGUGAAGGGAAGCUCCUAGUCCAGGGGAAUAUUGAUGAGAAAGAACUUCAUCCAGAGCCAACAGACAGAGAGGCUUCCCCUGGAGCUGACACCCUGAAUUUGGACUUCUAGCCUACUUUACUGUAAGAAAAUAAACUUCUCUUUGUUAAAGCCAUCCACUUGUGUUAUUUCUUUUAUGGCAGUACUAGAUGACUAAGACAGUCCUCUUCAGCCUCCUCAAUCAAGAGUAGAUUCUUAGAAACCAGAAUUUAUAGUCCAGAACAUACACAUGGAAGUGCAAGUCUCCCCAGGGAGUGUGCUGAGUCACAGGAGCUAUAGGUGUGCUGAAGCCUACCAUGGCCUGGGGUGGCAGGUUUCCCCAAAUGGGUUGCCUCCUACCAAGAACAGCCUUUAUCACAGGGGGCCAUACAAACAUUAUUCCUCCUCUGGUGCCAUGAGCUGAGUAAAUUUGAGAAUCCCUACCCCAGAAGGCUCAGAAGAGUCCUCUCCAGGAGGGAGAAAAAGGGCUCUGUGUUCUCAGACAAGGACUAAAGAAUUAGAUAUCUAGUUCUAGUUCUGCCUUCAUUACUAUUCUGGGAGUAUCUCACCUUUCUGGGUCUUCUUUAUUGGUAAAAAUGAGGACAUUGCACAGCAUAAUUUCUACAAUCCUUUUCAGCUCAGGAGUUCUUUGAAUUUUAUGAUUUAUAAUGUCUUUAUAGAGCAGGGAGUCACAUGUCAUUUAUGGCCCUGGUCUCAUAAAUAACCCCCCAUCCUCCUCCCCAUCACCCCUUGUUAAGCUGUACAGGGCUCACUUCCAGGAAAUGGCCUGUUCUCUGGUUUCCAUUGGUGCAGCCGUUGUGGACUUUCUGCCAUGUAGCCUGUUACGGAUUUAAUGGUGUCCUCAAAAAUAUGUGUGUGGGAAUGGAUUUUCUUUGUUAUGUUAAUGAAGCUGUAUUAGUGUAGGGUGUGUCUUAAGUCAAUCUCUUUUGAGAUAUAAAAAGAGAAGGUUGAGCAAGCAAAGGUGUGAGAAAGCAGAGAUGAGGGAAGAUAAAUUCGCACCAGAUGAAGAUAGCCAAGGAACCAAGGACCAAGGACAUUCCCCCAGAGCUUGUCUAGUGCUGGCACCCUAAAUUUGGACUUCCAGCCUCCUAAACUGUGAGAAAAUAAAUUCCUGUUUAUUAAAGCUACCCCCUUGUGGUAUUUCUGUUACAGCAGCACUAGGUGACUAAGACAUGGCCCAUAAACCCCAGUACCUGAGGCAAAUGUGGAGAAAGGGCCAGUCUGCCUGGAGGGAAGAAGCUGAUCUCAGAUACAUUUGAUCCUGCCGAGGACUCGUUAGAUGUGGCUGAAUGUUGUGAAGACUGCAUAGAAGAGAAAGACAAAGCAGGCAAGUGCUUUCCCACCCAGGCUCUGCACCCAGACCUUAGAUGGAAGGAUAGAAGAACCCAGGCGACAGAACUGUACAGGAAGGAAGCCUGGGCCUGGCAUAAUGUGGGACUCCAUGCAGUGUUUGUUAAAGGGUCUCUUGCUUAAGCUCUUGAUGCGCAUCCAACAGCUUACUCAACAUCUUAGAGUGCUAACAGGUACCUCUAACUUAUCAUGUUCAGAGUUCUUUCUUCCUCUCUGCCAUAGCCCUCCUCAACCACUUUCUCUCCAGUGUCUCCAUAUCAGUCAACAGCACUACCACUGAAUAGUGCUGAGAGGGGACUCCUAGGCCUUCUUCGCUCACACUCUACUUCCACUCUGUCAGCAGGGCCUGCCAGCUGUACUUCAAAAUCCACCGGCUUUUCUUCCUUGACAUUGGAGCCAGCCUCGCCAUUACUAGCAUCACCUCUCUCUCCCGUAGCUUUUGCCUGGUUAAUCUCAUGUCUCCCCUCUUGUCACCUAUAAUACAGAGCAGGAACAAAGUCUUGAAAAUAGGUUAUAUAGCUUUCCUGUCUUGGCUUCCCACUGCUCUUGAAGAAGAUCCAGACUUUUUACCACAACCUACAAAACCCCGCUCCCUCUCUGAAUCCGUCUUCUAUCAUUCAUGUCCUGAUCCCAUGUGCUGCAGUCCCACAAGGCUUCUGUCUGUUCCUUGGUCUCGCCAAACUUGGUCCCACCUCAGGAGGUUUGCAUUUGCUCUUUGUCCUGCCUGAAAUACUCUGUCCCCAGAUGGUCGCAUGUUCUCAUAACUCAGGUCUCAGCAGAAACAUUGCCUCCUCAAAGGUUUCUCUGACCACUCAAUGGAUAAGUGUCCCCUCCACCGCCAACCCCUGCUGCCAAAUAUUUCCCAUUUUACUAAUUGCUUCCUAGCAUCCAGUACCAUCCAAAAUUACAAUGAUUGUUUUUAUGUUAUUUAUUUCCUUGUAAUUAAUCUCCCCUAAAAGAAUGAAAGCUUCAUAGGUCUUUCUUGUUCAUCAGUACCCAGAACAGUGCCUGGCACGUAACAGGUGCUUAACAAGUACUUGUUGAACCAAUAAGAUGAGACCAACUAAGUAGGUUCUACUUUCAGAAGGCAACUCCACACUCAACAGAAACUCAUAUCAUUUGGAGACUUCAUUCCCAUGGGUCACUGGGAUUACCACGGCAGGCACAAAUGUUAUACUGGAUAUGCAGUUAUCCUGGGCUACAGCAGAGACCCUGAGCUCUCCUACAUCAGGGACACGUGCUGGUCCCAUCGGUGAAGUUCAGCUUACACAGUGGACCAGUAGGAAGUGAAUGGUCCCGGAAGGUAGACGCUGUGGCUAACCUCCAGGCUCGCCCUUCCUCUUCCCGCCUGCCAAUUGAGCUUGAUCCAUUUCAGUGGAUUUCAGUGGGGGCAGUGAGAGAUGUUUGUGGACAGGGAAAAGGAAAAGGCAAGGUUGAGAGUAGCCCAGUAAUUUUACUUUUUCUUUUUGCUUACCUCUAUUUUCUAAAUACUUUAUAGUCAUUAUGUAUCUCUUCCAUAAUUAUUUUCAAAAAGGAGAAACAUGAUUAUUGUAAAAAUAUCAUUCCAGUACUAUUAAGAGAGAGAGAGAGAAGGCUAGUAAUAAUAAUUUACCUUUAAAAUUGCCUGAAAAUAGACUGCAACCGUAUAUAAAUAAUAUACCAAUCAAGUUUUAUUGGCACACAGCUGUGCUCAUGCUGUGGAUGCCUUCACACUACAAUAUCAGAUUUGAGUGGUUGGGACAAAGACCAUGUGGUCCGCACAGCCUAAAAUAUUUACUAUCUUGUCCUUUACAGAAAAAAAUCUGCUUACUCCUACCAUAGUUCCUUUGCUCUCUGCAUCUUCCGUGACUUCCUCCACAAUGCUAUGGCACUGAACCUACCAAGACUCUGAGUUUCUGCUUUCCACUUGGUGUGUUUGUCUGUCUGCCCUGCAUCUGCAGGCUGUUGGUCAGAAACCGGAUCAUCUGUAUACUUCUACAGUGCUUGGCACAUUGUUGUUAUUUAAGUAAAUCCAUAUUGUAUAAGUAUUUUGGUCCUGCUUGCAAAAGGAACUUUCAGCGGAUGUCACUCUUUUCAACAGGGUCAGAUGUGGCUGAGAGGUAGGGUGUGCUCAUGCUGAGUCAUGUGCAGGGACCCCCACAGGCACUACCUUGUCAGCUCCUCUCUGCCUGUGGCUCUUUGCUUGAAGGCUGCCUCGCAACAGGCCAAAGUUCUUGGCCACACUGGUCAGCUUGAGAUUGCUCAGCCUCAGGGUCCCACAGCUGUGCCGCCGCUUGAUACUGCCGUGUCAAAUAUUCUUCAGAGAGCCAGGUUGGUGACAACAAGGAGCAAUGUAUUCCCACCAGGCUGGACCACUGGGCAAGGGCAGGUUGGGAUCUGGCAAGUCUGUGGUGUGAGUUUUUUUUUUUUUUUAAGAAAUGCCAAUUUGUUCCGUUCACACAGAAAGCAACUGGAUUCAUGCUCGUGAAACAUUCUAACAAGCAUGAUGCUGGGCAUGAAAUGAAGUGUCUAUUUAUUUGUAAUUUGCAGAAAACACUGAUGGCACAAAAAUGGCAGCCUGGUGCAAUAAGUUUAAUUUGUCCCUGU